AGUAGCUGAUGAGUCCCAAAUAGGACGAAAUGUGCAUCCUGGAU
rnacentral:hammerhead_ribozyme from 1 species